GGUUCGUUGGACUACAUCCGAUUGCAUAUGGUAAUGUUAGUCAGGCUGAGUUAGUGGGAAACGGAAUGGGAACGGCACAGCACUAGUUGUUGUGGCUAUUUUGUUCUGUGGAGUAUAUUAUACAACGCUGUAGCCUUUGGGGAGCAAGGGAACAAAGCCGGGAACAUGGAUUACAAUUUCAAAUGCAAAAAAACAAACCCCGUUCAUUGAACACUAGUUCAAGCGACGUCCGACCGCAGCCAAAGUGCGCAAUCCCCAAUCGAGAAACUAGAACGCGGCGGAGAAAGAGCGAGAAAUUAAUGCCGCCGCGGGAUGGAGCAGGAGGAGCACCAGCUGCAGGAAGGGACUGCGGUUUCGUGUGGCGUGCGACAAUUAACACUUGUGGAAGUCUGGAGAGUACUUAAUUAGCAAUUUGCAUAAUGCAGCAGUUUGUUAAUUACACGUGACACGGGAGAUUUCCACAGGUUUCAGGGGGGCUUCAGGUGCUGCAAGGGUCCGCAGAUGUUGUGGUUUCUCGCGACAAAACCCAAAGGUUUCUCCGCGUUUCAGUUCAAUCUGGUUUCGCCUUAAAUUUGUUCAAUGAAUUUAUGAAGUUCGAAUUUUGCGUAUUCGCCAUGGACAAUAUUUAAUUAAUUUUUAGCAAGCGCAUGGCGGGCGGCUAACAAACAAACUGGUUUCCUAAAUUGACAAAGGUUCUACAUUUUCGCAUUCAAUAAUGAACUUAACAGAGGAACAGAACAGUUCAGUUGAAUCUGGUUUAGAUCAUUGAUUUUCCCAAACGAUUCGAUCCAUUUCGAAAUGAGAGCAUAUAGUCACUAAUUAAUACAUUUUUGUGGUCGUCAAAGUGUCAACAAAGGAACUAGUUUUGGCGAAUCGGGUAGCCAGUUGAGAAAGAGAAUAAUGUUUUAGAAACUAUAUAAUCUGGUUUUCUUAUUAACGUUGUAGUAAACUUUAUAAGAAACUUAAUUCAUUAGAAAUAAGUAUAAACAAUGUGAGCUUAAAAGGUUUCCCCGAAAAUGUUCCUCAUGGUUCUUGGGAACAUUAGUUUAAGAUUAGUAUUUUUUCAAAGAAGAUUGUCGCAGCGUUCCUACUCUUAUCUUUGCCUUUUGAGAGAUGCAAACACAGGCGAUGCUACAACAUUUUCGGAACAAAUUAAAUUGAAUGUCGGUUGCUAUCUUUA